AGGACGAACGCUGGCGGCGUGCCUAACACAUGCAAGUCGAACGAGGUCCAUCCGGUAGCAAUACUGGUGAAGAUCAAGUGGCGAACGGGUGAGUAGCACGUGAGCAACCUGCCCCGAAGACUGGGACAACACCGGGAAACCGGUGCUAAUACCGGAUAUCCCCACCGAGUCGCAUGGUUUGGUGAGGAAAUGUUUUUCGCUUUGGGAGGGGCUCGCGGCCUAUCAGCUUGUUGGUGAGGUAACGGCUCACCAAGGCUUCGACGGGUAGCUGGUCUGAGAGGACGAUCAGCCACACUGGGACUGAGACACGGCCCAGACUCCUACGGGAGGCAGCAGUGGGGAAUCUUGCGCAAUGCGCGAAAGCGUGACGCAGCAACGCCGCGUGGGGAAGACGGCCUCGGUCGUAACCACUGUCGAGGGAAGAUAAUGACGGUACCUUGGAGGAAGCCCGGCGUAACUACGUGCCAGCAGCCGC
rnacentral:rRNA from 1 species